GACGAACGCUGGCGGCGUGCUUAACACAUGCAAGUCGUACGGUAAGGCCCUUUCGGGGGUACACGAGUGGCGAACGGGUGAGUAACACGUGAGUAACCUGCCCACAACUUUGGGAUAACGCUAGGAAACUGGUGCUAAUACUGGAUAUGUGCUCCUGCUGCAUGGUGGGGGUUGGAAAGCUCCGGCGGUUGUGGAUGGACUCGCGGCCUAUCAGCUUGUUGGUGGGGUAGUGGCCUACCAAGGCGGCGACGGGUAGCCGGCCUGAGAGGGUGACCGGCCACAUUGGGACUGAGAUACGGCCCAGACUCCUACGGGAGGCAGCAGUGGGGAAUAUUGCACAAUGGGCGGAAGCCUGAUGCAGCAACGCCGCGUGCGGGAUGACGGCCUUCGGGUUGUAAACCGCUUUCGCCUGUGACGAAGCGUGAGUGACGGUAAUGGGUAAAGAAGCACCGGCUAACUACGUG
rnacentral:rRNA from 1 species